CACGCCCCAAAUCGGAAGUGACGGAGAGGAGCUAGCGCGUCGAAGAUAGCUCUAUGGUUUUCCUCCCGUGCUUGAGUCGGGAAAUGGCCGCGGUGUAGUUACGAGGAAGAUAAGUCCCGGGAACCGUGCUUCGGCGUGUCAGGAGUUUGAAUUUAGAAUUUAAUUUCUCAGAACAUUCUCUCCAGGAAGAAUUUUACAGUAUCUCAAAGACUUCACUUGAUUGCUUGAUCCUGCAUAAAACCCAAGGAGAAAAGAAAUGGGUCGCUCCAAUUCUAGAUCACACUCUUCAAGAUCAAAGUCUAGAUCACAGUCUAGUUCACGAUCAAGAUCAAGAUCACACUCUAGAAAGAAGAGAUACAGUUCUAGGUCUCGUUCCAGGACAUAUUCAAGAUCUCGUAGUAGAGAUCGCAUGUAUUCUAGAGAUUAUCGCCGAGAUUACAGAAAUAAUAGAGGAAUGAGACGACCAUAUGGGUACAGAGGAAGGGGUAGAGGGUAUUAUCAAGGAGGAGGAGGUAGAUAUCAUCGAGGUGGAUAUAGACCUGUUUGGAAUAGAAGACACUCCAGGAGUCCUAGACGAGGUCGUUCACGUUCCAGGAGUCCAAAAAGAAGAUCCGUUUCUUCUCAAAGAUCCCGAAGCAGAUCUCGCCGGUCAUAUAGAUCAUCUAGGUCUCCAAGAUCAUCCUCUUCUCGUUCUUCAUCCCCGUAUAGCAAGUCUCCUGUCUCUAAAAGACGAGGGUCUCAGGAAAAACAAACCAAAAAAGCUGAAGGGGAUCCCCAAGAAGAGAGUCCUUUGAAAAACAAAUCACAGGAGGAACCGAAAGAUACAUUUGAACAUGACCCAUCUGAAUCUAUUGAUGAGUUUAAUAAAUCAUCAGCCACAUCUGGUGAUAUUUGGCCUGGCCUUUCAGCAUAUGAUAAUAGUCCCAGAUCACCCCAUAGUCCUUCACCAAUUGCUACACCACCUAGUCAGAGUUCAUCUUGCUCUGAUGCCCCCAUGCUCAGUACAGUACACUCUGCAAAAAACACCCCCUCUCAGCAUUCACAUUCCAUUCAGCAUAGUCCUGAAAGGUCUGGGUCUGGUUCUGUUGGAAAUGGAUCUAGUAGAUACAGUCCUUCUCAGAAUAGUCCAAUUCAUCACAUCCCUUCACGAAGAAGCCCUGCAAAGACAAUCACACCACAGAAUGCUCCAAGAGAUGAGGCUAGGGGACGUUCCUCAUUUUAUCCUGAUGGUGGGGAUCAGGAAACUGCAAAGACAGGAAAAUUCUUAAAAAGGUUCACAGAUGAAGAGUCUAGAGUAUUCCUGCUUGAUAGGGGUAAUACCAGGGAUAAAGAGGCUCCAAAGGAGAAAGGAUCAGAGAAAGGGAGGGCAGAGGGAGAAUGGGAAGAUCAGGAAGCUCUAGAUUACUUCAGUGAUAAAGAGUCUGGAAAACAAAAGUUUAAUGAUUCAGAAGGGGAUGACACAGAGGAGACAGAGGAUUAUAGACAGUUCAGGAAGUCAGUUCUUGCAGAUCAGGGUAAAAAUUUUGCUACUGCAUCUCACCGGAAUACUGAGGAGGAAGGACCCAAGUACAAGUCCAAAGUUUCAUUGAAAGGCAAUAGAGAAAGUGAUGGAUUUAGAGAAGAAAAAAAUUAUAAACUUAAAGAGACUGGAUAUGUAGUGGAAAGGCCUAGCACUACAAAAGAUAAGCACAAGGAAGACGACAAAAGUUCUGAAAGAAUAACAGUAAAGAAAGAAACUCAGUCACCUGAGCAGGUAAAGUCUGAAAAGCUCAAAGACCUCUUUGAUUACAGUCCCCCUCUACACAAGAAUCUGGAUGCACGAGAAAAGUCUACCUUCAGAGAGGAGAGCCCACUUAGGAUCAAAAUGAUAGCCAGUGAUUCUCAUCGUCCUGAAGUCAAACUCAAAAUGGCACCUGUUCCUCUUGAUGAUUCUAACAGACCUGCUUCCUUGACUAAAGACAGGCUACUUGCUAGUACACUUGUCCAUUCUGUCAAGAAGGAGCAAGAAUUCCGAUCCAUCUUUGACCACAUUAAGUUGCCACAGGCCAGCAAAAGCACUUCAGAGUCAUUUAUUCAACACAUUGUGUCCUUGGUUCAUCAUGUUAAAGAGCAAUACUUCAAAUCAGCUGCAGUGACUCUAAACGAGAGGUUCACCUCGUAUCAGAAAGCCACUGAAGAACAUAGUGCCCGGCAAAAGAGCCCUGAGAUACACAGGAGAAUUGACAUCUCUCCAAGUGCCCUGAGGAAGCACACGCGUUUAGCAGGGGAAGAGAGAGUUUUUAAAGAAGAAAAUCAAAAGGGAGAUAAAAAAUUAAGGUGUGAUUCUGCUGAUCUUCGGCAUGACAUUGAUCGUCGGAGAAAAGAAAGAAGUAAAGAACGGGGGGAUUCCAAGGGCUCCAGGGAAUCCAGUGGAUCAAGAAAGCAGGAAAAAACUCCAAAAGAUUACAAGGAAUACAAAUCUUACAAAGAUGACAGCAAAAAUAUAUUUGUCUUUUACACGGCUUAUGGUGGAUGAGGACAAAAACUUUGGAAUAGCAAGCUAACACUGAAAAAAAAAAUGACAAAUUAAUGUGUCCUAUUAUCCAGGCUACAUCAGGAGGUUGGACUUCAAUGCAGUGCAUUUCUAGAAACAGUUUGUUAAACAUAAAAGUAGAGAGCAAGAUCAUUCUCGAUCUUCAUCCUCUUCAGCAUCACCUUCUUCUCCCAGUUCUCGAGAAGAAAAGGAGAGUAAGAAGGAAAGAGAAGAAGAAUUUAAAACUCACCAUGAACUGAAAGAAUACUCAGGCUUUGGAGGAGUUAGCCGACCACGAGGAACCUUUUUUCGAAUUAGAGGCAGAGGAAGAGCCAGAGGAGUUUUUGCUGGGACAAAUACUGGUCCAAACAACUCAAAUACUACUUUUCAAAAGAGACCGAAGGAAGAGGAAUGGGAUCCAGAAUAUACCCCAAAGAGCAAGAAGUACUUCUUGCAUGAUGACAGAGAUGAUGGUGUGGAUUAUUGGGCCAAAAGAGGAAGAGGUCGUGGUACUUUUCAACGUGGCAGAGGGCGCUUUAACUUCAAAAAAUCAGGUAGCAGUCCAAAAUGGACUCAUGACAAAUAUCAAGGGGACGGGAUUGUUGAAGAUGAAGAAGAGACCAUGGAAAAUAAUGAAGAAAAGAAGGACAGACGCAAAGAAGAAAAGGAAUAGUAAAUCUGAAGUGAGAUUGCAACAGAGAACAGAACUUGCACCCACCAUUUUUUUACAUGAUUUUUGUUUUCAAAUAAGAAUGUAAGCAUUUUACUUAAAUUUUACUGUUUGCAAGUAGUAGUCUAGAGAAAUUUUGUUUUAAGUCUUCAAAUAUCCUGAAAAAUAGUAGACUGUAUGUUGAAAAUUGUACUGAAAUAAAGUAGAAAAUUGUUACGUACCAUAUUUGUAACUAUCAACUUUUAAAAAAAAUACUUUUACUGUUUUUGUUACAUGCAUUGUAAUUCUGCUUUGUCUAUAAGAUAUGGUCAAGUACAGCUCUGUGAAAGUUAUGAUUCUCUUCCCUCCCUGUUUGUUAAUGUUUAUUCUGAAGUAAACGUUAGCUCUACAUACAAAUCCCUGAAUAGCAGUUGUUUAUAGAAACCACACUAACUAUUUUAACUGUAUACAUCUGUUUAACAUUCUCCUUAAUUCAAACACACUACAUUGUAGGGUGACUAAUUUUUGAAGUGUACCAUGGAAAAAGUUGUUAUUUUGGUAAACUAAGCUAGUUUAACACCUCAGCAAAUGCUUAAGAAGGAAAAAGAAACUUUGCCAAUCUUGAAAAAAGUACAAGCUGUUAAAAGUUAGAUUGAAAAGUAUGAGAAUAUUUUUCUUUUUUCUUUUUUUUAACUGAAAGCAAGCAGUGGCCUAUAUACAAAGCAUUCUUAGGAGCCUUUACUAUUUGAGUUCAAAAUUCAAUUUUCUCUUUCUAUUCUUCCCUGAAAGUUUGAGUCAUGGUCUUAGAUAUCAGCUAUUGUUUGAGAGAGGAAACUGGUUUGCAAUAGUACAAAUAAAAACUCCCUUCCUACUGAAUGUCUUAGACUUUAAAAAAAAAAAAAAAAAAAAAACAGAACAAAACCUGUAAUCCUGGCAUUGGUAUGGAAGAGGAUUAUUCUGCAGAGUAACUUGAUACAUUAAAAAGACGUGUACCUGAUGUCAUACCUUACAUAUUUAUUUGAGCUUUUGGACAGCCAAAUCAUUGGUUUGUGGUCUAACCAUAAGGAAUAAUAGGCGAACAGAAUAUACUGCUCAUUAGUGGUAUUUUAAGUAACUUGUUUUUCAUAUGUCACCAAUAAAAAGGUCUGACAGGAAGUUUGUCACAGCAUUGAUCUAACUUGUUUUUUAUUUUUUUCCAUAUUUCAGUUGCAGUUUGUAAAAUGGGUUUUCUUUUUCUUCCCAAGGGUUCUAUUGUUCAGGAAGAUAAUCUUUCAAAUGUGAAUUGCCUUUAUGUUUAUGAUGAUAUCUCUUAGAAGGAAUGAAAAUCCAAAAUAGUAAAUUUCAGUGUUUAAGUCUGUCUGCUCUUAGAGAUAUAUAAAAGUAGUCAAAUUUCACUUGUUAAUUCAGCAACUGAAUUAGUUUUUAUGUUUGCAUUAAAAGGAGAUAAUGCUUAUUCUGUUAGUGUAAACUUUUAAACAUCUUAAGUGUAUGGCUCUUUCAUCCUCACUGAUGGUUUGUUUACAGGUGCUCUUCUAGCACCUUAACUGCAGUCAGAGGCAUUAGCUAAGAGCUGUAUGCGGGAAAAACAUGAAAACAAAACUCAGUAUAUGUGAUGUUCAUGGCCCUAAGAUCCUGAAGUAUUGCAUGGUUAUUUUUAUUUUGUCUUUCUGGAAUUGUUUGAGCAGAGGAAAUACUGUCAAAGCAACUAUGUGUUGCAUUAAUCAGGGCAUAACUAAUAUUCUCCUAGUCAGAAUAAUAAUUACAUGCUAAAAAGCAACAUGGAUUUGAUCUCUGACACAGGAGAAUUUUCACGACCAUUUUAUUUUAUACAAAUUUUAGCUUUUAUUUUAACAGUUAUUAUUUGGUUAGAUACUGAAUCUCUAUGCAUGUCUAUAAAUGUGCAGUUUUGCUUUUCCAUAUAAGACAACAGGAAAGGGGAACCUACUGAGAAAUUACUUAAUAGGAAGUAGGAAUAAAGCUACCCAAGUCCUACCAGCAGGUUAUAUUUUAAGUGCAAAUGCAUUGCUUUAACCCAAAUAUGUUAAUGAUUUGGUUACUUUUAUUAAAUAAAAUUGAGGAAGGAGUAUCCUAUUAGAAUAUAGUAGGAAGGGUGAUUGUGAAAACACUGCAAUAGAAUGCCAUUGUGGAUGUUAUCUUUUUUUUAGAGCCACGCAUAUAAAAAGCCUGUGUGAAUUUUUUUAAACCGCAAUUUAACACCCUACUUCAUGGCAUGUUAUAAAAGCUGAAUGGUUCCUCUUGGUAAGGAUAUUUGUUUACAAGUGCUAGAAAAUAGUAACUCCUUGAUAACCUGCAUUCACACUUCCUUUUGCUUAGAGAAGGAAAAUAAAAAUGAACCAAAGGAUAUUUCCAGAAAGGAUUAAGAAAGCUGUUUUAAGAAGGCCAUGGCUCAGUCCUUAGGUGUGUACACCUUUCAACAUCGUAGGAAUUUUAAUUAAAAAAGCAAAAUUUGUUUUUCCAGUUGUAGCCUACUUUAAGGAAUUACUGUUUUUCCCCUUUUGUCACAGUUAAAAUCAAGUGUUGGGAAUUCAGUUAUAAUUUGAGUAAAAAUAUAUCCAGUAAGAAUGAAUGUAGAUGGCUAACUGAUUCUUACUCAGUGUGAUGUAUAAUGCAACAGGGACCCUUGUAAAUUGUCAUAUGCCAAUAAAAUGUCAUAAGUGGUAA